rnacentral:rRNA from 1 species
AUUGAACGCUGGCGGCAUGCCUUACACAUGCAAGUCGAACGGUAACAGGUUAAGCUGACGAGUGGCGAACGGGUGAGUAAUAUAUCGGAACGUGCCCAGUCGUGGGGGAUAACGUAGCGAAAGCUACGCUAAUACCGCAUACGAUCUACGGAUGAAAGUGGGGGAUCGCAAGACCUCGCGCGAUUGGAGCGGCCGAGUUCAGAUUAGGUUGUUGGUGAGGUAAAAGCUCACCAAGCCUGCGAUCUGUAGCUGGUCUGAGAGGACGACCAGCCACACUGGAACUGAGACACGGUCCAGACUCCUACGGGAGGCAGCAGUGGGGAAUUUUGGACAAUGGACGCAAGUCUGAUCCAGCAAUGCCGCGUGCAGGACGAAGGCCUUCGGGUUGUAAACUGCUUUUGUACGGAACGAAACGGUGAGCUCUAAUACAGUUUGCUAAUGACGGUACCGUAAGAAUAAGCACCGGCUAACUACGUGCCAGCCGCCGCGGUAA